GGAGACCUUCCUGUGCAAUGGGGACAGGCACACCUUUUGGGGGAUCUGGAAAGUGUUACCAAGCUUACAUCAAUUCUGAUCUGCUCUACAAGUAAACCAUCAGAAGAAAAACCAUACAAAAUCUUUCUGAAUUAUAUUCUCUUUGUAGCUCAAGAUCCAGGCUCCUGGGGAGAAUUGAAUACUUGCACCCAGUUGCAGGAUGAGGCAGCCCUGGAGGCUAUCUGUGUAGGAAGGCAUAAACGUCAGGCAGUUUACAAGACAGCCUUAGCUCUCACUGCCUCUUGAUCAGAGCCUCAAGGUCAACCAGAGGAACAGUCUGAAAAAUCAUAUACAUCAGGCAACAGCUGUACAUGAAUGAUUUAAAGCUGUCUCUGCAAGAAAAAUUUGUUCUUUCUCCUGGCCACCUCUUAUUCUGCCAAUGCCUCAUAAAAUGUGGACAUGAAGCAUAAACAUCCGCCACCAUUAUGUGGAGAUACAGCAGAAAAUGGAACAUAGCUAAACUGUACCUUUGCCAUCUCUUGACUCCAGCAAUGAUUCACACUUGAGGAACCCAUCUGCCCACAUCACAAACCAUUUUCCCUUCCUAAAUCCUUAAUGGACAACUAGUGGCAUUGAAAAUGCCCACUGCAGGUGGUGAUUAAAGAUGGCAGUGUGAGAGGUGAGACAGAGGCUUCCUCCUAAAACUCCAUAUAAUAUGAAAAUAUAAUUAAUACAACUGACCCUGAGAGAGCAACAGGAAAGAGUGCCAGACUGCAUACACUGGAGAAAAGAGCAGACCGCACAGAACAGGGUAACAUACCAAAGCUGUGGCCCUGUAGGACCCAAGCCCUUCCCCCACCCCAGCUCAUGGGCGGGAGGAAGAGAAAUGGAGCAGGGAGGGAGUGGAGGCCUGGGACUACUGAAUACCUAACUCUGGAGAUCUGCUCUGGGAGCACAAACCUACAUUUCAUGGUGCUUUCAUGAUAUUCUUGUGAUUACAGAGUUGGAAAACUAAGACAGGCAGAAUUCCUGGAAAGACUGAGAUUCCAACCGCUUGUGGAAAGCAGGGAUCCAGAUCCAGCUGCUCUGGGACAAAAGCUUAUACCUGUGUGCUCGGCCCACUGGUUCAGGUAGUGGAGACAGAGAUAGCAGCUGGGAAGCAGGAAACAGCUCUUUUCUCCCCCCAGGCACAAAUACCACUCCCCUGUGACCCCCGACAUUGUUUCAGGGGCUGAGCAGCUCCAGAAUAGUGCUUCAGGACACUAGAGGGCACCAUAUACAAAGAUGAAAUGCCAAAGGAACCUUGUCCAGAGUAAAAUUAAUACAACUCUUGAGAAAGAUUUAAAUAACAUGUACCUCAUGACUCUUCCUGAAAGGGAGUUCAAAAUAAAAAUCAUUAACAUGCUCAUGGAGGUACAGAAAGAUAUUCAAGAACUCAGGAAUGAAUUCCAGUUGGAGAUCCAAUCAUUGAAG